rnacentral:lncRNA from 1 species
GUAUUGCAAUUCCAAGCAAGGCCAUGGUUUCUGAGCUGGUAUUUUUUGUUUGUUUGUUUUUUUGGCUUUAUUGAGGUACACUUGACAAGUAAAAAUUGUAUAUAUUUAAGGUGUAGAACUUGAUGUUUUGGUAUAUGUAUAUAUGAUAUAGUGAAAUGAAUUCUGUUGGGGAGACUGCAAGGCAUGUUGAAGAUAAGCAUUUUGCCCAGUUAUGGGGUAGUCUCUGCAUCUAGCUCCCAGAUUUUGCACCCAUUCUCCUUAUGUAGGAUGUCUGCACUUCAAAAUAUUUGGGUGGAGAACAGUUUAUUCACCUUGGUUCCUCUUAGAGCAUUGGGAGAAUUUAGAAAAAAUAUCUUAAUACAAAUUUUGAAAUGGGAGGUGAUAUUCAACAAGGGGAGCACAAGUAGUGAAAGAUGGUCAUUUAACAGGUUUCUAAGGAGACUGGCAAUUGUCACUUGGAAGACAUUAGUUUCACCCAGUCCUGUGAGACAAGGAGGGGAUACAGGUCAGAAUUUGGACAGAGAUGAAUUGCUCCACAUAUAGCAAAGAAGGAAUUAGAAAUUCAGAGAAAUUCCAGAAUGGAGUCACUGGACAGAUCAGAGAAAACAAGAAGAGCGAGGUCAGCAGUCUGAAGCUACGUCACAGUCAUUCAAUCUGUGCUCCCUGUGUACCUUCAUACCGUCCACAAGGCUCCUCACCAUCUCCGUCUGGGCUGCUAUCUCUUCCAUCAACAGGUAUGUCAUCCUGGUGCAACCAUGAUGAGAUCAGGAAAAGGAGGAAUAUAGCCAGAAGCAGAGAAAUGCUGCCGCUGAGCGGGUCUACUCUCAUUGCUGCCAAGACAGAAAAUUCUGCCCAGAUUUGGGCUACUGUAUGUCCACUUGGGGAACCAGGGAGACUCACCCCAUAUUGAGCGGAGAGCGAUGGACAAUGUUGUUGAUUCAAAAAUCUGCUAUACAUUCUUUACAUAAUAUUUUUAACCAUCCCUGUCUUUCUGAGAAUGAAAAAUGGACGACAGAAAUGCCGUUGGUGUUUAAAGCGCAUGAAUCAAAGGUAGAACCAGUUUUCCAAGCUUCCUUCCUACUGCAGCAAAUAAAUAGCACAAGUUUUUCCUGAUUAAGUUCUAUUUCUUCUAUGUUGUCAACAGAAAUUUAAUUUCAAAUUUUAAAUUCAGAUUUCUAAAACAAUUACUACUUCACCUGGGCUUUCCAACAAGUUAAUCAGUGGUUGAACUGAGAUC